UCUCUCCGGCAAGCGUUUCUUCACCUGCAUAAACUACGAGGUAAAAAACGGGUUCUUGUCUUUUAAAUUAUGUCUUCUGUUUUUGUCUGUUAAUUAACAAUCUGAUAUAGUUUAUGUGUUGUUACCAAGGCUGAUGGUUUUCAUUAUCGUCAGCCUUGGGUCAUUGGUGUGCAGGAGCAUAUCGAACGGCUCACAAGUCGUGUAGAGGAGGUGGAGGCGGUGAUCAAGUGGCUGCCGGAAGUGAAUAAUAAGAUUAAGAGUCUGGAGGUAAUCUGACUUCCCACUUUUGAAUUUUGUUUUGUAAUUUUUUUCUUAUAUUUUAUACUGUGGCUAACACCAUCUCAUUGUCAUUUCCUUGUACAGGCAGAGGUGAAAGCCCUCACUGUGGAGGUUGAUAGGCUCACUGGGAAGGUUUAUAACCUGACCGUGCAGGUGGAUCACUUGGAGAAAUGCUGCUUCGACUGAAAACACAAAGGUCACGGGUUCAAGGAGGAGGAUGCGUGGAUGGUUGCAGGUCUCUGUUUCUUUAUGUAUCAAAUCAAGUCACGGGUGGUAAUGUAGUAGUAGGUGGUUGUAGUGGUAGGUUAUGUAAGAUGGAAUCACGGGAGAGUGUAGUGUUUUUCAACUUUCUACACUCGUUUUAUGUAUCAAAUUAAGGGUAUGUCCCCACAGCUUUGCUUUUGUACUCACGGGUGUAUGUACCCACAUGCUACUUGCUUCAAUGUUUUUCUAUAUAAAUGACUAUGUGUUUCAUUCUAUUUAUCUCAUUCAUGCAUUUUAUCAAAACUAUCUUACCAUCAGCCAUACUUUUAUCUAAACUAUCUCACAAUCUCGUAAUCUCACCUACCAACACCACUACGAGAAUCACCAAUCAACACCACGAGAAUCACAACAACAAUCAAACAAGAAUCACCAAUCAACACAAGGAAUCAACUCUACUACUCCUCAACCCCACGGAUCAUCUCUACCAUUCAACAGAGGUAAGUUGAAAACCCAAAAUUCUAAGUAAUGAACACAUCCUUAAAUAAUGAAAUUCUAUAUUCUAUAUUAUCAGAUUUAAAACCAAAAAAAGGUUUAUAAUUUACUAAAGCUAAAACCCAAAAAAAAAAGAUUCAAGAGAAAUAAACAGAUUUAUAAUUUUCAUGAAAAUAUUUACUAAGUUUAAGACCAAAAUAAUAA